rnacentral:rRNA from 1 species
AUUGAACGCUGGCGGCAUGCCUUACACAUGCAAGUCGAACGGCAGCACGGGGCAACCUGGUGGCGAGUGGCGAACGGGUGAGUAAUGCAUCGGAACGUGCCAUUGAGUGGGGGAUAACGUAGCGAAAGUUGCGCUAAUACCGCAUAUUCUGUGAGCAGGAAAGCAGGGGCCGCAAGGCCUUGCGCUCUUUGAGCGGCCGAUGUCAGAUUAGCUAGUUGGUGAGGUAACGGCUUACCAAGGCGACGAUCUGUAGCGGGUCUGAGAGGAUGAUCCGCCACACUGGAACUGAGACACGGUCCAGACUCCUACGGGAGGCAGCAGUGGGGAAUUUUGGACAAUGGGCGCAAGCCUGAUCCAGCCAUGCCGCGUGAGUGAAGAAGGCCU